rnacentral:rRNA from 1 species
UCGGACUUUUGAGAGUGGCGAACGGGUGAGUAACACGUAGGUAAUCUGUCUUAGGGGUUGGGGAUAGCCCAUGGAAACAUGGGGUAAUACCGAAUAGCUCCCUUUCAGCACAAGCGGGAAGGGGGAAAGGCGCUUAGGCGCCGCCUUAGGGUGAGCCUGCGGUCCAUUAGUUAGUUGGUGGGGUAAGAGCCUACCAAGGCAGCGAUGGAUAGCCGGCCUGAGAGGGUGAACGGCCACACUGGGACUGAGACACGGCCCAGACUCCUACGGGAGGCAGCAGCUAAGAAUCUUCCGCAAUGGGCGAAAGCCUGACGGAGCGAUGCCGCGUGAGUGAAGAAGGCGGGAACGUUGUAAAACUCUUUUCUCGGGGAGGAAUAAUGAGGGGAGGUAAUGCCCCUUUGAUGACGCGAACCGAGGAAUAAGCCCCGGCUAAUUACGUGCCAGCAGCCGCGGUAACACGUAAGGGGCGAGCGUUGUUCGGAAUUAUUGGGCGUAAAGGGCGUGUAGGCGGCGAUGUAAGCCUGGUGUGAAAGACUUCAGCUUAACUGGAGAGCCGCGCUGGGAACUAUGUUGCUUGAGUAUAGGAGGGGGAGCUGGAAUUCCAGGUGUAGGGGUGAAAUCUGUAGAUAUCUGGAAGAACACCGGAGGCGAAGGCGAGCUCCUGGCCAUAUACUGACGCUGAGGCGCGAAAGCGUGGGGAGCGAACAGGAUUAGAUACCCUGGUAGUCCACGCUGUAAACGUUGUGCACUAGGUGUCGGACUUACGGGUUCGGUACCGAAGUUAACGCGAUAAGUGCACCGCCUGGGGAGUAUGCUCGCAAGGGUGAAACUCAAAGGAAUUGACGGGGGCCCGCACAAGCGGUGGAGCAUGUGGUUUAAUUCGAUGAUAUGCGAGAAACCUUACCAGGGUUUGACAUAUAGCAGACGGUCGUAGAGAUACGGCUUCCCUUCGGGGCUGUUAUACAGGUGCUGCAUGGCUGUCGUCAGCUCGUGCUGUGAAGUGUUGGGUUCAGUCCCGCAACGAGCGCAACCCCUACUGUCUGUUACCAUCAUUAAGUUGGGGACUCAGACGGUACUGCCGGUGACAAACCGGAGGAAGGUGGGGAUGACGUCAAGUCAUCAUGGCCCUUAUGUCCUGGGCUACACACGUGCUACAAUGGCCGGUACAGAGCGCAGCAAAACCGCGAGGUGGA